AGAGGCUCUGCUCCUGACACAGGCCCUCAGCCAGCGGGUGCCUGGGGAUGUUCAGAGACCAUGAAACCAUCCUGCAUGACUUGCUGCCAUUAGGAGCCUCUCAUGAAGCACUUCUUGCUAGAUUCAGUACUGACAUUGAGAGAAGAUUCAAACCCCAGAAGCUGUCACAGAGUUGUGUUUGGAACUGAUGUGUCCUGAAUGUUCAGUGUAAUUCCCUCUGGUUAAGGGACUGCUUGAGCUGAUGAGAGCAUUUAUCUGCAAGAGAGGGCAGCCAGCUUUCUG